rnacentral:tRNA from 2 species
GUCCGGUUAGCUCAGCUGGUAGAGCGCUACAUUGACAUUGUAGAGGUCACAAGUUCAAGUCUUGUACCGGACA